rnacentral:rRNA from 1 species
UNCGAGCUGGGUGGCUAGAGUGUGUCAGAGGGGGGUAGAAUUCCACGUGUAGCAGUGAAAUGCGUAGAGAUGUGGAGGAAUACCGAUGGCGAAGGCAGCCCCCUGGGAUAACACUGACGUUCAUGCCCGAAAGCGUGGGUAGCAAACAGGAUUAGAUACCCUGGUAGUCCACGCCCUAAACGAUGUCGAUUAGCUGUUGGGGCACUUGAUGCCUUAGUAGCGUAGCUAACGCGUGAAAUCGACCGCCUGGGGAGUACGGUCGCAAGAUUAAAACUCAAAGGAAUUGACGGGGACCCGCACAAGCGGUGGAUGAUGUGGAUUAAUUCGAUGCAACGCGAAGAACCUUACCUGGUCUUGACAUGUACGGAACCUUCCAGAGACGGAAGGGUGCCUUCGGGAGCCGUAACACAGGUGCUGCAUGGCUGUCGUCAGCUCGUGUCGUGAAAUGUUGGGUUAAGUCCCGCAACGAGCGCAACCCUUGUCAUUAGUUGCCAUCAUUCAGUUGGGCACUCUAAUGAGACUGCCGGUGACAAACCGGAGGAAGGUGGGGACGACGUCAAGUCCUCAUGGCCCUUAUGACCAGGGCUUCACACGUCAUACAAUGGUCGGUACAGAGGGUAGCCAAGCCGCGAGGCGGAGCCAAUCCCGGAAAACCGAUCGUAGUCCGGAUUGCACUCUGCAACUCGAGUGCAUGAAGUCGGAAU